CCUACGGGUGGCUGCAGUGGGGGAUAUUGCACAAUGGGGGGAACCCUGAUGCAGCGACGCCGCGUGGGUGAAGGAGCGUUUCGGCGCGUAAAGCCCUAUCGGCAGGGAAGAAGAUGACGGUACCUGACCAAGAAGCCCCGGCUAACUACGUGCCAGCAGCCGCGGUAAUACGUAGGGGGCAAGCGUGAUCCGGAUUUACUGGGGGGAAGGGGGGCGCAGACGGCAAUGCAAGCCAGGAGUGAAAGCCCGGGGCACAACUCCGGGACUGCUAUUGGAACUGGACGGCUGGAGUACAGGAGGGGCAUGCGGAAUUCCUAGUGUAGCGGUGAAAUGCGUAGAUAUUAGGAGGAACACCGGCGGCGAAGGCGGCCUGCUGGACCGUAACUGACGUUGAGGCUCGAAAGCGUGGGGAGCAAACAGGAUUAGAUACCCCUGUAGUC
rnacentral:rRNA from 1 species